AGAGUUUGAUCAUGGCUCAGAUUGAACGCUGGCGGCAGGCCUAACACAUGCAAGUCGAACGGUAACAGGAAACAGCUUGCUGUUUCGCUGACGAGUGGCGGACGGGUGAGUAAUGUCUGGGAAACUGCCUGAUGGAGGGGGAUAACUACUGGAAACGGUAGCUAAUACCGCAUAACGUCGCAAGACCAAAGAGGGGGACCUUAGGGCCUCUUGCCAUCGGAUGUGCCCAGAUGGGAUUAGCUAGUAGGUGGGGUAACGGCUCACCUAGGCGACGAUCCCUAGCUGGUCUGAGAGGAUGACCAGCCACACUGGAACUGAGACACGGUCCAGACUCCUACGGGAGGCAGCAGUGGGGAAUAUUGCACAAUGGGCGCAAGCCUGAUGCAGCCAUGCCGCGUGUAUGAAGAAGGCCUUCGGGUUGUAAAGUACUUUCAGCGGGGAGGAAGGGAGUAAAGUUAAUACCUUUGCUCAUUGACGUUACCCGCAGAAGAAGCACCGGCUAACUCCGUGCCAGCAGCCGCGGUAAUACGGAGGGUGCAAGCGUUAAUCGGAAUUACUGGGCGUAAAGCGCACGCAGGCGGUUUGUUAAGUCAGAUGUGAAAUCCCCGGGCUCAACCUGGGAACUGCAUCUGAUACUGGCAAGCUUGAGUCUCGUAGAGGGGGGUAGAAUUCCAGGUGUAGCGGUGAAAUGCGUAGAGAUCUGGAGGAAUACCGGUGGCGAAGGCGGCCCCCUGGACGAAGACUGACGCUCAGGUGCGAAAGCGUGGGGAGCAAACAGGAUUAGAUACCCUGGUAGUCCACGCCGUAAACGAUGUCGACUUGGAGGUUGUGCCCUUGAGGCGUGGCUUCCGGAGCUAACGCGUUAAGUCGACCGCCUGGGGAGUACGGCCGCAAGGUUAAAACUCAAAUGAAUUGACGGGGGCCCGCACAAGCGGUGGAGCAUGUGGUUUAAUUCGAUGCAACGCGAAGAACCUUACCUGGUCUUGACAUCCACGGAAGUUUUCAGAGAUGAGAAUGUGCCUUCGGGAACCGUGAGACAGGUGCUGCAUGGCUGUCGUCAGCUCGUGUUGUGAAAUGUUGGGUUAAGUCCCGCAACGAGCGCAACCCUUAUCCUUUGUUGCCAGCGGUCCGGCCGGGAACUCAAAGGAGACUGCCAGUGAUAAACUGGAGGAAGGUGGGGAUGACGUCAAGUCAUCAUGGCCCUUACGACCAGGGCUACACACGUGCUACAAUGGCGCAUACAAAGAGAAGCGACCUCGCGAGAGCAAGCGGACCUCAUAAAGUGCGUCGUAGUCCGGAUUGGAGUCUGCAACUCGACUCCAUGAAGUCGGAAUCGCUAGUAAUCGUGGAUCAGAAUGCCACGGUGAAUACGUUCCCGGGCCUUGUACACACCGCCCGUCACACCAUGGGAGUGGGUUGCAAAAGAAGUAGGUAGCUUAACCUUCGGGAGGGCGCUUACCACUUUGUGAUUCAUGACUGGGGUGAAGUCGUAACAAGGUAACCGUAGGGGAACCUGCGGUUG
rnacentral:rRNA from 1 species